UUUUAGCCCCGAUAAAAGUGGAAAUCCUUUCUAGUCCUGAACUUGUUUCAGGAUUCUGAAACAAGUUCAGGACUAGAAAGAUUGAAACGGAUAGCGGGAUUAGCU
rnacentral:sRNA from 1 species